UGCAACAUUGACAUUGUAAGGUUAACAUGUGUACGUUCAUACGUAUUUAACUAUUUAAUACAUACAUAAGCUUCGUUAGUAUUGAACUGUCGCUCACUCAUUAAGAAUAAGAAGAAUAACAGCACUGAGGAUGAACCGGACUAGGAUGGAGGAAGGAAAACGAGAUGAUGAUUCGGAACUGGAGAUAGUCAUUACUCUUUUAUAUUAAUGUUCCAUACUGAAUACCCGUCUCAACUUAUCUGUUGUUAAGUUAUUCAUUCAGCCGUCUUGUCAAAUGCAAUGCGCUACAAAUAAGAAUUCCUCCCAUUCGUGAAUGUGUCUUCAUUAUUACAAGAAAGAGCAUACAACACGCAGAUCGUUGGGAUGAAAGAGUUCAUUGCAGUCCUCUCGUCCCUGCUUCUCGUUUCUUUUGCGAUAAUUGUGACCAUCAUCUUUUUCGGCGACCCUCCUACACCUCUGCCCAAUGGAGGCAAUGGGAUGAAAUCAGUCUCGGAAAAAAAAUGUCCAAUUGAUGAUGUCCAGUAUGGAGUUUCUUACGUUUAAAAAAUUUCACAUACUUACAAAUGUACAACGUUGAAAUAAAUUUGAAACUGUAUCAUGUUCCUGCAUAA